GUGUGGGCCAUAUGUGGUCACAAUGCACAAAACUUCAAACUUGGGGCCGGUUUAAAACAACUGUCAGGAGAAACUUCUCCUCAUUUGCCUGGCUUCAGCAUGUCUGGAGGAACAGUGUGUGGAGCUUUUACCUUUCUCUGAGGCCUCGUGCGUGGGCCACGGCCAAGGGCAGAUUUCCGGACCUAUCAGACCAAUUAUUUCACAGGACAUAGCUUCCAAGCAGGAAAUUGACACCGGAAACAAGGACAAUGGAGGAAAGGAAGGAGACUAAUGAAGUAGGGGGCAAGAGCUAACCAUGCUUACACCAGGAUCAAGAGCGUGCAAAAUGGGAGGAAUAAGCAGUGGGUAGGAGGGCACUUUGAAGAGAACCUGCAGAACUGCUGGUGGCUUUGCUGUGCAGGUAACAGAACCCUCUGUUUGCAGCUGAAGGAACAGAAAAAGUGGUGGUAGAUUUUACCAAGAGGGUUAAGCACCAACUUUGGAAGAGAAAAUGAGGAGUUCAGUUUGCCCACAUUCAGUUUAAGCUGCUUUUAUGCAUUGAAGCAGAAGUGCUGACGAGCCACUUGGUGAUAUAUAUCUAGAACUCAGAGGAAAGAAGGGCUUAACAUACACAUUUGAGUGUUAUCUGCCCACGGAUCGUAUUUAAAGUUAUGGCAGUGGAUGAAAAUAUUUAGGGAGUUAAUGUAGAUGGAGAAGAGGGUUUAGAGUUAAGUUCCUGGAGACUCUAACAUUCCAUGGAACAACCCUCCUUAAAAUGGAAAAGAUCCUGAGCUUUAACUGUUCUCACUUUGAUUCUUUCCCCCUUCGAUUCAUGGGCCAAAACUCUCCAAAAGCAAUUCAGGAAAGAGAGGACACUGCCUAUUUCAUUCACUACAAAAUCCCCACGGCCUUGCCUGGCACUGGCACAGACUCACUAAGUAUUCAGUGAAAUGUGAGCUCAGCCCUCUCACGGCCUCCAAGCUGCCCUCACCGUCCAAGCUGACUUUACAGUGGUCACCCCCAUGACCCACCAGGGUUCCUGAGUUUGGUGGCCCAGAGGAAUUCUAACCAAGACUCAUAUGCUCUGUUCCUUGUACACGUAAACAUCUGUCUCACCCCACACCAAAUCUUCUUGCUAUCACUGUGCUCACUGACGAUGCUUGAUUCUAGGGAAUAAAGAUGCUGUUCCACACAUGUCCUCCGAAGAAGGUACCGUUUGGGAAGGGCACAGGCAUGCGCCAUUGAGCUCCACAGCUGGAGGCACUGAUUGCACGAAAAGCACCUGGGCACGUCACCAAGCCACAGAUGGUGACUACGCGCGACCCCAGUUGAUGAGAGCUGGACAGUGGUGUUUAGUGGAAACGGCUUUGGAACUCUAAGGAAGCAUUUGGAUCUCUAAGGAUCCAGUGAAUGGAUACAACGGAUUCUUGACUUCCGUGUAUUAAUUGUUCCUCAUCACAUUCAAUAUGUAGGUACACCUUAUAGGUUUUGCCUCCAAAACUUAUCUCAUGUGCAUUUACUUCCCUCCGCUGCCAGUGCCUGGACCUAAGUCCAGGUAGCACCUCCACUAGAAUCCUCCACUAGCCUUUGGAAUGCACCCCAUCCAGUUUACAUGCUUGCCCUCGUCCCCAUUUCUCUUCUUUGAGUAUAGACAGAGCCCAGGGACAAACCGGAUUUAAAACACCAGAUUUUGGCAAGUUAAUUUUAAAGAUACUUCUCUGGGAAAGGGCAGUUGACUAUAUCCUCCUCAAGUUUAGCACGCUCCCUUAAGUGAAGCACCUUCAACCCUGCUUUGCCUGCAGAGAGUUCUUUAAGGAUGCUCAACUGAAGCGCCCGCUUUUCCUUCUUCCUAUUAAAAAUGGUUCUCGGAUGCUUUUAUUCUUAGAGAUGCAUUCUAUUGUAGCACCAAUAUAGUUACAUAAGCGCAUCGUUUCAUGCUCUAUUCACCUUCUGGAUCUUUUAACCCGACCCCUCUCAGCUGAGAAAAGAAAUACUAUGGGUUUAAAUCUAUCUGCUAUCAGCUGCAGUAGGGCAAUUCUUACCCUAGGGCCCCAAACCCUCAUUUCAGAUGGACUAAUCCAGACCUCUUUUGGUGGCAAUGCUAUUUCCUCUGCUACCUGGUUUGGCUGUGUGCUGAGCCCCAGUUAUAUUUAGGCAGUGGAGGGGAAAAAUAGGGAUAUUAACCUCUAACACUGAUGAAAAUAAUAGCCACAAUAAAAUCGGGAUGAAAAACGCAGGGGUAGUAAUUAUUCUGCUCUUACCUUACCCCAGAGGAAAUAGUUUUCAGAUAGAGCCUUAGGAAUUUGUAAAAGGUCCCUCUGUUUGGGGUUUUAUAAGGCAGGUGGAGGGGCUAUCUGGAGACAGGGGGCAGUGUGCCAGAGCUGCAGACAACGUGGCACUAAGUGACGGGGCCUGCAGUAGAAUCCCCACUCCUCUCCCUCAAUUCUUCAAAGGUUGA
rnacentral:lncRNA from 1 species